rnacentral:lncRNA from 1 species
CUGCGCCUGGAUCUGCUGGAUUUGCGCCGGGCUCAGGUGGUUCAGCGCCAGCCCCGCCGCGGCGUCCAUCGACAACGUCUGGUACGGCGCCGUCGGCAUGGCGUACGACGAGGAGCAGGGCGGCAGGGGCGGGAGCUGCGAGAAGGAGGUGGUGGUGGGAGCUGGCGGCGGUGGCGGGAGCGCGGUGCAAGAAGAGGCGGCGGCGGCAGGUUGGUAGUAGUACGAAUCUUGAGGCAAAGCAGAGUGGUAGACGUAAGGGUAGGAGAAGGGGGAGGUGGUGGUGGAGGUGGAGGAGGUGGGGGAAGAAGCACUCCGGAUAAAAGGUUCGAGUGCUUUCAUGAGCUCCUGGUCCGAGGAGGACGACGAGGAGGAGCUCAGCUGGUUUGUGUCCAAAUCUAUGGCUGCCAUUACGAAGAUGAGCAAAAGACUAGCAAGAGCUAAAAAC